GCGUCGCACACGCGUUGCGUACGGACGCGCGACCGCCUCCGUGCGCUAUCAAAAAUGUCGACGGUGGUAAAGUGUAAUAACUGCAAUGUUGUUAUUAAUGAAGUCCUUGCAUUUAUUUGCAACAAGAUUGAUGUGAUGGAUGAAGAGAGCAUUAAUAAUAAUAAUUAGAAUACUUUAUGCAGAACUCAUUGUUUUGAGCCACUAAUACAGCUCUUAUGCACUUCUACAGAAAGGCAACAUCAUGGAUAUGAUGUAGUCAUGCUUUUGAUGUUCCUUGUAAACUACAAAAAA